UACGAAGGGGGCUAGCGUUGUUCGGAAUUACUGGGCGUAAAGCGCACGUAGGCGGACUAUUAAGUCAGGGGUGAAAUCCCGGGGCUCAACCCCGGAACUGCCUUUGAUACUGGUCGUCUAGAGAUCGGAAGAGGUGAGUGGAAUUCCCAGUGUAGAGGUGAAAUUCGUAGAUAUUCGCAAGAACACCAGUGGCGAAGGCGGCUCACUGGCCCGAUACUGACGCUGAGGCACGAAAGCGUGGGGAGCAAACAGGG
rnacentral:rRNA from 1 species